rnacentral:rRNA from 1 species
GUUUGAUCCUGGCUCAGAACGAACGCUGGCGGCGUGGCUAAAGCAUGCAAGUCGCACGAUUAAAGCCCCCUUCGGGGGGUGUAUAAAGUGGCGAAAGGGCGAGUAAUGCAUGGGUAACGUACCCCUCGCACAGGGAUAGCUGCGGGAAACUGCAGGUAAUACCUGAUGAGACCACAGUGUCAUAUGGCACAGCGGUCAAAGGGUGGGGAUCCUUCGGGACCUACUGGCGAGUGAGCGGCCCAUGUCCUAUCAGCUUGUUGGUGAGGUAACGGCUCACCAAGGCAUCGACGGGUACCGGGACUGAGAGGUUGACCCGGCGCAUUGGGACUGAGACACUGCCCGGACUCCUACGGGAGGCUGCAGCACCGAAUAUUCCGCAAUGGGCGCAAGCCUGACGGAGCGACGCCGCGUGUGGGAUGAAGCCCUUCGGGGUGUAAACCACUGUCAGGGGUUAGCAAGCAAUGGAGGCCAAUACCCUCCGGCGUUGAGCAGCCCCAGAGGAAGCCACGGCUAACUUCGUGCCAGCAGCCGCGGUAAGACGAAGGUGGCAAGCGUUGUUCGGAAUCACUGGGCUUAAAGAGCACGUAGGCGGCCCGUCAAGCAUCUAGCGAAAUCCCUCGGCUCAACCGAGGAAUGGCUGGGUGAACUGGCGGGCUUGAGGCAGGUAGGGGCACGUGGAACUCUUGGUGGAGCGGUGGAAUGCGUAGAUAUCAAGAGGAACGCCGGUGGCGAAAGCGGCGUGCUGGGCCUGUCCUGACGCUGAGGUGCGAAAGCCAGGGGAGCGAACGGGAUUAGAUACCCCGGUAGUCCUGGCCCUAAACGAUGUCCACUAGGUCGGAGGCUCUCUGACGAUUUUCCGGCCGAAACAAAAGCGUUAAGUGGACCGCCUGGGGAGUACGGUCGCAAAGCUAAAACUCAAAGGAAUUGACGGGGGCUCACACAAGCGGUGGAGCAUGUUGCUUAAUUCGAUCAACGCGAAGAACCUUAUCCUGGGCUUGACAUACUUGGAUACCCAUCUGGAAACAGAGUAGGUUGCUCUUCGGAGUGAAACUUGUACAGGUGCUGCAUGGCUGUCGUCAGCUCGUGUCGUGAGAUGUUGGGUUAAGUCCCGUAACGAGCGAAACCCUUGUCGCUAGUUGCCAGCGCGUAAUGGCGGGGACUCUAGCGAGACUGCCGGUGUUAAACCGGAGGAAGGUGGGGAUGACGUCAAGUCCUCAUGGCCUUUAUGCCCAGGGCUGCAAACGUGCUACAAUGGUCGAAACAAACCGAAGCGAAGCCGCGAGGUGGAGCAAAUCGGACAAAGUCGGCCUCAGUUCGGAUUGGAGUCUGCAACUCGACUCCAUGAAGUCGGAAUCGCUAGUAAUCGUGUAUCAGCGCGACACGGUGAAUGUGUUCCUGAGCCUUGUACACACCGCCCGUCAAGUCAUGGAAGCUGGUAGCGCCCGAAGUCGGCAUAUGUCAGUGCUGCCGAAGGUGAGAUCGGUGACUGGGACUAAGUCGUAACAAGGUA